rnacentral:rRNA from 1 species
GUCCACGCCGUAAACUAUGGGUGCUAGCUGUUUGAGGUAUCGACCCCUUGAGUAGCGAAGCUAACGCGUUAAGCACCCCGCCUGGGGAGUACGGUCGCAAGAUUAAAACUCAAAGGAAUUGACGGGGACCCGCACAAGCGGUGGAGCGUGUUGUUUAAUUGGAUGAUAAGCCAAGAACCUUACCCAGGUUUGAAAUCCUUCGAAUUUCUACGAAAGUAGAGAGUGCUUUAUUGAACGAAGUGACAGGUGAUGCAUGGCCGUCGU